rnacentral:rRNA from 1 species
CUGUCACCGGGGAAGAAACGACUGCAUUUAAUAGAAUGCAGCCUGACUUAACCCGGAGAGGAAGCAGUGGCUAACUCUGUGCCAGCAGCCGCGGUAAUACAGAGACUGCAAGCGUUAUUCGGAUUCACUGGGCGUAAAGGGUGCGCAGGCGGCCAAGUGUGUGAGGCGUGAAAGCCCGGGGCUUAACCCCGGAAUUGCACCUCAAACUACAUGGCUAGAGCAUUGGAGAGGGUAGCAGAAUUCAUGGUGUAGCAGUGAAAUGCGUAGAUAUCAUGAGGAAUACCAGAGGCGAAGGCGGCUACCUGGACAAUUGCUGACGCUCAGGCACGAAAGCGUGGGGAGCAAAAGGGAUUAGAUACCCCUGUAGUCCACGCCCUAAACGGUGCACACUAGGUCUUGGCGGAUUCGACCCCGCCAGGGCCCAAGCUAACGCGUUAAGUGUGCCGCCUGAGGACUACGGCCGCAAGGCUA